CGUAGGGACCGAGCGUUGUCCGGAUUCAUUGGGCGUAAAGAGCUCGUAGGCGGCCACUCAAGUCGAAUGUGAAACCUCGAGGCUUAACCUCGAGCCUGCAUUCGAUACUGGGCGGCUAGAGUCUGGUAGGGGGAUCUGGAAUUCCUGGUGUAGCGGUGGAAUGCGCAGAUAUCAGGAGGAACACCGGUGGCGAAGGCGGGAUCCAGGGCCAGUACUGACGCUGAGGAGCGAAAGCGUGGGGAGCAAACAGGAUUAGAUACCCUGGUAGUCCACGCCGUAAACGAUGGGCGCUGGGUGUGGGAGGUCAUCGACUCCUUCCGUGCCGCAGCUAACGCAUUAAGCGCCCCGCCUGGGGAGUACGGUCGCAAGGCUA
rnacentral:rRNA from 1 species